UACAGAGGUGGCAAGCGUUGUUCGGAAUUACUGGGCGUAAAGGGCGCGUAGGCGGCUCGACAAGUCCCGCGUGAAAGCCCCCGGCUCAACCGGGGAGGGUCGUUGGGUACGGCGGAGCUUGAGGGCGGUAGAGGUUGGUGGAAUUCCCGGUGUAGUGGUGAAAUGCGUAGAGAUCGGGAGGAACACCUGUGGCGAAGGCGGCCAACUGGGCCGACCCUGACGCUGAGGCGCGAAGGCGUGGGGAGCGAACGGG
rnacentral:rRNA from 1 species